rnacentral:lncRNA from 1 species
AAAAAAGCAAAAAGAAAUAUAUAGGUCAAUGUGCUUGUUUUUGGAAUUUUAGCGAGAAAAUGUUCUCUCUUGAUUUUUCAUAGUUUUAUCAUUGACCAGUUAAAGUUCUCAAAAACUGUUAAAAGAUAAAUAAGACUUAUAAGAUUUAUAAGACUUCUGUAAAUGGCUUAUAAUUAUACGUGUAAAAGAUUUAUACAAAGAAAAAUGGGGGUUCAUGGGGACAUUUUUUUAAGGCAUUCAAAUGGAUAAAACCAGAGGAUUUCGAAAAUCUGACAAAAAUUCCAAAACAUGACAAGCAAGCAUCCUUAACCAUUGAUAAUCAAUUUUGUAAAUAAAAAAUAAAAAAAUCCUGGUAACUAUGAUAAGUUUAUUUGUUGGUGUUACUCAACUUUGAAAAGGGAAUAAUGGGUUGCAUUCUGGUAGACAUUUACCAAUCUAAUGAUAUUUCUUUUAAGCAGAAUUAAUCGUAACAGUUGUCAUGAAAUGCAAUUAAAAAAUUGCACACGACAAUCGUAGAACAUAAACAACAUUCUCAAAACGACUAAAUUGAGUCGAAGAAAAAUCUUGUGAUCUGACAUGCAGUGGUAAAUUCUUUGACAUUUGCUGGGGUUUUUUCCAGAGAAAUAUCUCUGCACUCACCCUAAAUAUGAUGAUUCUUAAUGUUAUAUAUAUAGUAUAAAGAAGAAUUUAUAAGUUGGUAAUGCUUGUGUCUGGUUCGCUAUGUCUUUGCGGAAAUAGAAUAAAUUUAACAACCAGCUAAUUCGUAACAAGCGAGGACAAAAAGCAGCUGUAAAUAUAUAUUACGACUGACAAACAGGCUCUAUAUCUGAUACAUGCGACUCAAUUUCUUCAUAACCGUCUACUAUAUAUGUUUCUAUCAUCAGCUCAGUAGUCAGUCCUUUGGUGCUUUGUAACAAACCUUAGUUUCUUAGAUUGAACGUUAUUAAAUCUAAAACUUAUUUAAGCAAAAGUGUCCUUAGAAGGAGUUUGCUAUUAAUUUAGGCCCUUUUUGAUCCUAUAACUCUUCAACUGCCUCAGUUCUAAUGCAUCCAUGGCUUUCAUAUAUUGGGAUUUGAGUGUUCA